rnacentral:rRNA from 1 species
AGAGACCGGCGCACGGGUGCGUAACGCGUAUGCAAUCUACCUUUUACAGAGGGAUAGCCCAGAGAAAUUUGGAUUAAUACCUCAUAGCAUAGCAAUCUCGCAUGAGAUCACUAUUAAAGUCACAACGGUAAAAGAUGAGCAUGCGUCCCAUUAGCUAGUUGGUAAGGUAACGGCUUACCAAGGCUACGAUGGGUAGGGGUCCUGAGAGGGAGAUCCCCCACACUGGUACUGAGACACGGACCAGACUCCUACGGGAGGCAGCAGUGAGGAAUAUUGGACAAUGGGCGCAAGCCUGAUCCAGCCAUGCCGCGUGCAGGAUGACGGUCCUAUGGAUUGUAAACUGCUUUUGUACGAGAAGAAACACUCCUUCGUGAAGGAGCUUGACGGUAUCGUAAGAAUAAGGAUCGGCUAACUCCGUGCCAGCAGCCGCGGUAAUACGGAGGAUCCAAGCGUUAUCCGGAAUCAUUGGGUUUAAAGGGUCCGUAGGCGGUUUAGUAAGUCAGUGGUGAAAGCCCAUCGCUCAACGGUGGAACGGCCAUUGAUACUGCUAAACUUGAAUUAUUAGGAAGUAACUAGAAUAUGUAGUGUAGCGGUGAAAUGCUUAGAGAUUACAUGGAAUACCAAUUGCGAAGGCAGGUUACUACUAAUGGAUUGACGCUGAUGGACGAAAGCGUGGGUAGCGAACAGGAUUAGAUACCCUGGUAGUCCACGCCGUAAACGAUGGAUACUAGCUGUUGGGCGCAAGUUCAGUGGCUA